GCUAUCAGUGACUGGUCUUUUGCAUGAAAGAAGCUGAUUUUUCUGCUCAUAUUGUUGAUGGUGAUGAUCUUGGUUGCUUGAGCUAUUCUCAGUUUUUCCAUUAGGAAACCCUAAGAAGUCUUCCGGAUCUUGUUUUCUUUUCUUCGUAGGUUGUUCGAUAUGAUCUAUCCCAGGGCUCUUUCGGCUUUGAAGCUUCUCCAAAUGAUGAUGUAGUGCGUAGUACUUCUCACAGACUGUUUCUAGCAUCUCUUUUAUCUUCUUGUUCUCUGAGUAGACUCUGUUUAGCUCCUCUCUUAACUCACUUGCACUCUGUUUCAUUACCAUUUAGAUUUUAAAAAUUCGCCAUUACCAUCAAAAACUCUUCUAGUUUGUUGCAAAAAAGUCAAAUUUAAGGGUAUUAUCCGUUUAUGCAUUUUAAUUGAUUUGGAAAUUGAUAUAAGAAUUACAAAUCUCUACAAUUUUCAGUUUUUUUUUUCAAAUCUUUGUAUUUGUAAAUUCGUAUGUUUUAACUGUGAUUUAUGUUUUUGUAUUGAAAAAAAAUCCAUACAAAUCCAAGAAAUUCACUAUAAAAUCAAAUUCAUUAAUAAAUUUGUACGGUGAAUAACACGUAGAUUUAAUUAGUAUUUAGAAAUCAUAACACCUGAUUUGAAAUGUAUUUACAAACCAAUAACAUUGGAUUUCAUUUAAUUUUUUAAAUCCACUAAAAUACAUUAACCAAUAAUAACCCGCACUAAGUAUUCCACAAAGUAACUAACCUUAUCUUUGACCAACCAUUUCCUUUCGACACCAGCAGAAGUCGAAACUUUCACCUCCUCCUCCUUCUGAAAUGUCAAACAUUUCAAACGAACCCAUGAUUAAACAAACUCACUCAACGGAAAUCGAAGGGAUAUAGAAUCAUGUAAAAUCAGGACUCACCGGAAGUUUUGCUGGGAAACUACGAUCAAAAGCGUUGGUGUUGAGAUUCAGAGAUAUGUCGAGAGAAGAAGAACAGUCCAUUAUAAAAUAAAUAUUAAUAAUUGUUAUAAUUAAAGACACAGACCAAAAGAAGUAGUUGGUGCUUAGAAACUAAAGUCUAGACUUGCUUUCUUUGGUCGCAAGUUGGUGGUCUGAGUGGAUGGGUAAUGGCUUCUUUUUAUAAUACAUAACUAGUAAGAGUGUCUGUGAGGUUUUGGAUUUGUUAGGGAGGAAAGUCGUUGGAAAGUGACGAUCACUCUUAAAAGCUGUCUUCGAUAAAGUCCAGAAGACAUUAAAGAAUUUCGGGAAAAAAAGACAUACAGCUCAUUGUCUUUAGAAUUACAGUGAUUGGCUAAAUCAAUGGGUUUACUACUAUACAAAAAUAUUGUGUACUGAGUGAUCAAUCCUUGUUUCGUGUGUUCUACGUUUAUGUAUACAGUUUACUUUUUUUUUUCAAAUUAAAUUAUAAUGCAUUAUAUAUUAUGCUUCGUUAAUUACGAAUUCUUUGGAAUGUAGAAUAAGAAUCCUUUUAGUAAAAUGUAUUCCUUAAAGAUUUUCACGUGGUUAAACUCGUAAGCUAUAAUAAUCAGAUAAUAAAAAUAUAUGCAUAAAUGAUAUAUCAACAUGAAUAUAAACAAAAUAUUUGAUGGUCAGAGUGUGUAAAUAUUUAAUAAAGAAGUGAACUCUUUGUAAAUAUUUAACAAAUUAGUGAACCCUUUCUAGAUAUCAAAAGUUAAAUAUUUAACAAAUAUGUGAGUUCUUUCUAAAUAUUAAAAUUUAAGUUUAUAGUUAGCAAAAAAGAACAACUAUGAUAAAAAAGGCGCAAAUAACAUAAAUCGGUAAAAUACCUGAGAAAUCGAAUUAUAAGACAUAUCAAACAUACCGUCCAAAGACUUAUCAAGUAUCACGUCUCAAUCCAAACCACCUCAAAUAAAUCAAUGAUAACAAUUUGUUAUAACUUAUGAGGAAAAAAAAAAACAAGCAAGUAAAGAAGAAUCAACAAUAUCGGCGGUACUGCCCCAUGCCGAAGAAAAAUUUGUACGUCAUACAAAAAUUUCAAUACGGUCAGAUCCGUGUUUCUUCUAAUUAAUAUUCUGUUCAGUUUGCUGAAAAUUAUUUAAUAUUGCUCUCCCAGAUCCAUAGUGGGCAUAUAAGAAUUACGAACGCUCCCUUGACUUGCUUGACCUAUUGACUCUGAUUCGGAGGUGGUAAUUCUUUUAUCUAUUCUAUCCGCUGUUUGUAAACACACUAGGCGUUACGCGUAUGUUCGGGCUGGGCCUAACACCGAAUGAGAAAAUCGAAAACUUUGCGGGAUUUAAUCGGCGAUUUAGCAAUGCAACAAAGAUUACUUAGAAGGUGACUGGUUUUCCCGCUACCACCCGCAAACGCAGCUUUUGCGAUUGGUAGCGGUUGUCGGCGGUUUGCAACAAUCACUUAAAUCGCUUCAAACCGCUUCAAACCGCUCCGAAUCUCAUAAAUUCAAAAGCUGGCUCCAGCUAGCGUUUGCGGUUGCGGGCGGUUGCGGGAGGAUAAAAUUUUUUUCUUUUUUUAAAAUAAUAUAUAUACAAAAGUAAAAAUAUUUAAUAAUGAUUUAUAAUUUGCUUAUAGUUUUUUAUAUACAAUUAAUUUUCCAUCUUUUUCUCCCAAUUAAAAGUUAUAUUUUAAAAAGGAAAAAAAGAAACGCCAUUCAUUUUUCUAAGGAUGAGAAACCAAAACAAAAGCAUUCACUGAAACUAGCUUCAUGUUCUAGACUGCUCCAUCAACCUCCCCGUUAUAGCAGCCGCAAGAGCAGCAGUGAAAUUUGAAUCAUUCGUUAAUGACGACGCCAUUUGCUGAACCAGAACCUCUUGCAUUGUUCCCCUUUCGUUCUUCUCCAAAUCUAAUCUUUGACCAACAUGAACCAUAUCUAAAGUCACAGUGCUUGAUCCACCUUGGCUUGUAGCAUCUCCUUCAGAAGCGUUUGGACCUAAGUGGUUAUGUGUCCCUUCGUAUGUAGCAACCAGUAUGGACGAAUCCUCUGCACUACGUUGCACCUAUUACAACAACAACACGAGAAACAUAUCAUCAUUAGAUAGCUGAAUAGACAGAGAUAAACUAUAUAUAUUACCAGAACAUGUCCUAAAAUUUAGGGGUUAUAGACAAUUUAUAAAAAGAUAUAAUAAAAUAUUUAACAUAAUUUUUUUAACAAUUUGAGAAUCUAAUUAAUGUACAAAAAAAAAUGUACAUUAUUUUUUAAAAUUUUGGAAGUCAUUAACCAAUGUUUCAUUUGCUUAUGCUCAUGACCGGCUUUGGCGAUUACAAAGGAAAAUCAAAUUCAACGUGUGGAUUACCUUCUUUUUUACUGGACAUGACGGCGCAAACGAGCAUCUAAAGUAAGCUCUAGGCGAAGGGUUAUCUCUUGUAACCUUUUGUCCGUAUUUCCUCCAUUGAUAGCCAUCUUUUACUGUCUGCAAAGUAAAUCCCACAACAUAGUACUGUUUAGUUCUUAUGCGUCCAUAGCAAACAUAAACAACAAAAACACUUACCAAGCUUGUGUCGGAAAAAUCAGCAGGGAAAUAGACUGUUGAAACCUUUACUUUGUUGAAGCUAUCAGUGACUGGUCUUUUGCAUGAAAGAAGCUGAUUUUUCUGCUCAUAUUGUUGAUGGUGAUGAUCUUGGUUGCUUGAGCUAUUCUCAGUUUUUCCAUUAGGAAACCCUAAGAAGUCUUCCGGAUCUUGUUUUCUUUUCUUCGUAGGUUGUUCGAUAUGAUCUAUCCCAGGGCUCUUUCGGCUUUGAAGCUUCUCCAAAUGAUGAUGUAGUGCGUAGUACUUCUCACAGACUGUUUCUAGCAUCUCUUUUAUCUUCUUGUUCUCUGAGUAGACUCUGUUUAGCUCCUCUCUUAAC
rnacentral:lncRNA from 1 species